UGCAAAUGAUGUCUUUUCUCACGAUGGUCUUCCAAGCCUUUGAGGCUCUGACGACAACGCCUAAUGGCUUUGCUGAUGCGGCUCU